AGGUAGCGAAAUUCCUUGUCGGGUAAGUUCCGACCUGCACGAAUGGCGUAACGACUUCCCAGCUGUCUCAACCGCGAACUCGGCGAAAUUGCACUACGAGUAAAGAUGCUCGUUACGCGCAGCAGGACGGAAAGACCCCGUGACCUUUACUACAGCUUGGUAUUGGUGUUCGGUGUGGCUUGUGUAGGAUAGGUGGGAGACUGUGAAGCGGACACGCCAGUGUUCGUGGAGUCAUUGUUGAAAUACCACUCUGGUCACUCUGGACAUCUAACUUCGAACCGUAAUCCGGUUCAGGGACAGUGCCUGGUGGGUAGUUUAACUGGGGCGGUUGCCUCCCAAAGAGUAACGGAGGCGCCCAAAGGUUCCCUCAGCCUGGUUGGCAAUCAGGUUUUGAGUGUAAGUGCACAAGGGAGCUUGACUGUGAGACUGACAGGUCGAGCAGGGACGAAAGUCGGGACUAGUGAUCCGGCAGUGGCUUGUGGAAGCGCUGUCGCUCAACGGAUAAAAGGUACCUCGGGGAUAACAGGCUGAUCUUGCCCAAGAGUCCAUAUCGACGGCAUGGUUUGGCACCUCGAUGUCGGCUCGUCGCAUCCUGGGGCUGUAGUCGGUCCCAAGGGUUGGGCUGUUCGCCCAUUAAAGCGGCACGCGAGCUGGGUUUAGAACGUCGUGAGACAGUUCGGUCUCUAUCCUCUGUGCGCGUAGGAAAUUUGAGAGGAUCUGACCCUAGUACGAGAGGACCGGGUUGGACGAACCUCUGGUGUGCCAGUUGUUCCGCCAGGAGCACCGCUGAUUAGCUACGUUCGGGAUGGAUAACCGCUGAAAGCAUCUAAGCGGGAAGCCGGCCUUAAGAUGAGACUUCCAUACCUUUUAGGUGAGAGGCUCCCAGUAGACGACUGGGUUGAUAGGCUGGAUGUGGAAGCGAGGACUAAAGACUCGUGCAGCUGACCAGUACUAAUAAGCCGAAAACUUGACAUA
rnacentral:rRNA from 1 species